rnacentral:rRNA from 1 species
UACGGGGGGGGCAAGCGUUGUUCGGAAUUACUGGGCGUAAAGCGCACGUAGGCGGCUUUCUAAGUCGGGGGUGAAAUCCUGGAGCUCAACUCCAGAACUGCCUUCGAUACUGGAAAGCUCGAGUCCGGGAGAGGUGAGUGGAACUGCGAGUGUAGAGGUGAAAUUCGUAGAUAUUCGCAAGAACACCAGUGGCGAAGGCGGCUCACUGGCCCGGUACUGACGCUGAGGUGCGAAAGCGUGGGGAGCAAACAGG